CUUGCAAGCUGCCCAAUCGCUCUCCCGGUAUAGGGAGUGAGGAAAGUCCGGGCAACGUAGGGCAUCGUACUUCCUAACGGGAAGGGUCUCGCCCCGGCGAGGUACAGACAGUGCCGCAGAAAAUAUACCGCCUCAACACGUUGGGGUAAGGGUGAAAUGGUGAGGUAAGAGCUCACCGCAGUGCGGGUGACCGUACUGGCAGGGUAAACCUUACGAGUUGAAAGACCAAAUAGGCUGGUAGUAGGUUCGUGAAACCUCGGGGGGCGGCUCGUUCCCCAGGCUGUUUAUACAGCCGACGCCGGUGGGUAGGUCGAUAGAGCCUAAGGGUGACCUUAGGCCCAGAUAAAUGAUUGGGAUUCUGUGUGGCGGCAUGCUGCUCUCAGAAUGACAGAACCCGGCUUAUAGGCUUGCAAAAAAU
rnacentral:RNase_P_RNA from 1 species